AACGCGAAGAACCUUACCUGGGCUCGAAGCGCAGUGGAAUCCGGUGGAAACAUCGGCGCCCCUUAAAAGGCUGCUGCGGAGGUGCUGCAUGGCUGUCGUCAGCUCGUGUCGUGAGAUGUUGGGUUAAGUCCCGCAACGAGCGCAACCCUCGUCGAGUGUUGCCAUCAUUAAGUUGGGCACUCACUCGAGACCGCCGUUGAUAAGACGGAGGAAGGUGGGGAUGACGUCAAGUCAGCAUGGCCCUUACGUCCUGGGCUACACACGUGCUACAAUGGCCGGAACAACGGGCAGCAAGACCGCGAGGUCAAGCGAAUCCCAUAAAGCCGGUCUCAGUUCGGAUUGCAGGCUGCAACUCGCCUGCAUGAAGUCGGAAUCGCUAGUAACCGCAGAUCAGCUACGCUGCGGUGAAUACGUUCCCGGGCCUUGUACACACCGAUAGC
rnacentral:rRNA from 1 species